rnacentral:lncRNA from 1 species
GGCUGCACGCUGAUGCAUUUCGGGAUAAUGCGGUGUCACAGGUUGUUAGCGGGUCCAUGGCACAUCUCCAUGGCACGGUCGUCCUUUUUCCCCUUCGCCCCGAAGCUUUUAUUUAAACAUGCCUUGUAGGAUUUAGGAUCAAUCAGGCUUACAAGUAGAGGGAGGAAGGUGCCCAGGUCACCCAGAGAGCCGCUCACUUCCGCCCAGGUGAGCUGCUCAUACGUCAUGGCAAACCAGGACUUUAACAUAGCCAUUUCCGUGUUUCACAUAGGUUUUUACUGCGCCAGUAAUACCUAAGAAAGUUGCCAACCGCGCAGUCCUAACGGAACAGUUGGAAUACUAUUUUCGGCUUGGUUGACCACGCAAGAAAUAUAAAUACGUUGAUCAAUAAAUUUCUUCGCAGCAAAAAUGACCAGGCUGUAUGCAAGACAUUUUCCCGGAUGGCUAGAGUGACCCCUGUCGCAAAGGGCCACGCCGUGCAAGCGACUAUUAUUUGGUGAAGAAGUUCUCUACAGCACUUUGUACUUAUCAUAAGCUUAUGUAAUUUGAAAUCCUUCAGUGCAAAAAGCCCUGCAUGUUGUAAUUGCAAAGUUAGAAAAUGCUGACAGUUGGUUCUCAAUCCUAUGCAGCGAUUACCUCCAGCCUUCAUCAUAAUAGAAGUGCCCACGCGUACCCGGCCAUGCGUGGUGGGCUUCUGCCGCGCUGAUGUCGCUACCGAUGCGGAACGUCCCAGCACCAGCUACGCCAUCCCGGUUCCGCGAUGGGGGAGCCAUCACCGACCCACAACGGAGCGCUAUGCCGCUGCAUCGGCGCUCCCCUCAGCCAAGACACACCUGAACCCGCAUCCGUCUCAGACAUCGGUCGUUGAUGGCAAGGUGCGCAUACCCGUGCCACACUGCGCAAUAACGUAUCUUCACAACAAUUAUGAUAGCAGCAUCCGGAACGCUGUUGGUCAGUUUCUGGUCUACCGUUUCUGACACCGCCGCUGUAACUUUCGUCUAAACAUGUCCUAGGGAGACACACACACACACACACACACACACACACACACACACACAGAGAACAAGUACACAACGGUGCUGCCACGGCCAUCCCAAACGCCGACUCACCAAAAUGGUUCAUUUUGCUCCAUGCCGUACAACCCUUACUGCUCUUCAGGCAGUUGGCAAGAGGGGAUACGAUGGGUUCAUUUUGUGGCUAUCAUGCGGGGGUUGGUUGCCCGCCGUGUCAUGGCUGACAACGUGUGUGUAGUACUGUUAGUACUGUUUUCUCGUCGUCGGGUAUCACUUGCCUCCGGGUCACUCAAAUUAUUGUUUCUGUCUUUGUUGCUUUGUGAGAAGGUAGACAAAACUAAAAACAGGACCGAACAAGGUCUGAGCAGGGCUGGUGGCGCAGUCGAGUAUGCCCUGUACCCGUUGCUGGAAGGGGUCUUGUGCUGAGGCUUCAUGCAUUUAUGUGCUGUAGGCCGACAGCAUCCCACUGUGCCAUCUUCCGCCACGUGUGCCAGCACCGGGCCGCGCUAAAAGUAUUCCGAAUCUGUAAGGUGCUGAGGGGGGUUACGCCCCCCUAAGAACCCC